CUUUUUGCUUCAAGUUUGAGUUUGCUUCUUAGAGCUAUAGACUACCCACCAUCUUGUAAACUGCACAAAACUAAACACAGCUUUAGCCAUCACUUGGCAGCCAUUAUGACGUCACUUGGAAAAUAAAAUUCACGUGAGCUUACCGUUGGCGUCGCGACUGCAAAAAGACAGCACACUACACCUCUGUACUUUAUUACAUUCCACUCGUCUUUCUUCCAUUCCUUCUAUGGCUUCUCUUCUAAUUCAACCAAUCAACUUCACUAAAAUGAAAAAGCACACAGUGAUACUAGGUCAUCUUGCUCCAGUGUUUUGUCUCUCAUUUGAUUCAACUGGUCAAAGGAUCAUUACUGUUAGUCCUCCAUUACUGGUAUAUCAUUGAUAAACCAGUUAAAUUUAUGGAGAAGAACAGGGUCUGUGAUCAAACUCUCUGCUAAGCUUUUAGUCCUGGGGGUAAAUUCUAUGUUACAGGGGGUACUGAUAAGAUAGUACGUGUGUAUGAGAUGAGUGAUCCUCCAUUACUAGUGAAUGAACUAACUGGACAUGCCCCCUACUUCCCUUAAAAGAGUAAAGGUCACAUUAAUCACAGUGUUACUUCAUUACCUGAUAAUAACUGGUGAUCUACUGCCUCCUCUAUACACUGCAGUCAUGAGUCCAUACCUCAUCAAAGAAGUAUCAGACAGAGCCCGUGAUAAUUAUUAAUAAUAAUAUUAUAUUGUCUUUUUUUCUGAGUAACAGCAUGUUAUUAGUCUACUACUUUAUUUAAUCUUUUAUUUUGCAAUUUUAA